CAUACCAGGUGAACCUCAAGGUUUGCAGGAGAAACAUUACAGGAGUGGGAACCCUGAAGGAUGCAUUUUUGUGAACAUUGGUUGGAAAUCUGCAUUGCCACAUUUGGACAAAGGCAAUGGUAUUAACACAUCAAACACAGCUGGAUCCAGGAGGAGAGAAAGGACAGAACGACAUCCAAGAGGCAGCAUCAAUUUUCAUUCUGUCAUUAAUUCCCCUUGUGCUGGCGUUUGUAAGUCAGGCACGUACCGUUCCAUGCGUGUGAUGCCCAGCAGCCAAGAUCCAAAGCCUCUGGCAAAACCGACAGGCCGCCAAGUCAGCUGCUGGGCACUGCUUGAAACCUAUCAAUACUCUGUCCUUGGUGGGAUGAAGGCAGCUCACUGAAUGCAAGAAGAAAUUUCAGGAACGGAUGGGCAUUUUUUUCUCAGGUUGAAGAAUUGCUUUUUGUCCCAGUAUUUCUGAUAAACCACGAGGAGUGAAAGAUGACUGUUGCAAGCAUGCUGUGUGCAAUGCCCCACCUUUUUUUUUUUUUUUUACUACCUGGCUGUUAAACAAAUCAAAUGAGUCCUGUAUAGAUUUGGGCAAACCUAUCGGUUUCUAUGUAUCUCAGUUUCUUGUUUUUGCAAUCUUAUG